rnacentral:tRNA from 1 species
UCGGGGAUCGUCUAAUGGUAGGACGCCUGGUUCUGGUCCAGGUAAUCUAGGUUCGAAUCCUGGUCCCCGAG